CUUGAAUACUAUAAGAGGUCCAGCCUGCCCAGUGAAACAAUUCAACGGCCGCGGUAUCCUAACCGCGCGAAGGUAGCGUAAUCACUUGUUCUCUAAAUCAGGACUAGUAUGAACGGCACCACGAGGGUUACACUGUCUCCUUUUUCCAAUUAGUGAACUUAAUUUUCCCGUGAAGAAGCGGGAAUAAAUCUAUAAGACGAGAAGACCCUAUGGAGCUUUAAACAAUCCAGCAUUUGCCUAUAUCUUUCAUGUUUCAGAACUCUCUAGACCCCUGCAUAAUGACUAGAAGUUUUAGGUUGGGGCGACCGCGGAGUAAAACCCACCCUCCAUUAUGUAAGAACUUUGAUUCUUAACUAAGAAACACCUUUCUAAGUAUUAACAUACUAACAUUUAUUGACCCAAUACAAUUGAUUAACGAAC
rnacentral:rRNA from 1 species